rnacentral:rRNA from 1 species
UACGUAGGGGGCAAGCGUUGUCCGGAAUUAUUGGGCGUAAAGAGCUCGUAGGCGGUCUGUCGCGUCGGCUGUGAAAUCCCGGAGCUCAACUCCGGGUCUGCAGUCGAUACGGGCAAACUGGAGUACUGCAGGGGAGACUGGAAUUCCUGGUGUAGCGGUGAAAUGCGCAGAUAUCAGGAGGAACACCGGUGGCGAAGGCGGGUCUCUGGGCAGUAACUGACGCUGAGGAGCGAAAGCGUGGGGAGCGAACAGG